rnacentral:lncRNA from 1 species
GCUUGUCUACUUCUCUCACUGAUGGGAACCCAAGGUCAGAAAAAUGUGAAAAUAAAAGAUGAUGGAUGGCACUGCCUGUUCCUCGAAAUUAAACAAUCAUUGAAGUAAUUCUGCGGAACUCAGAUUAAGCCCAAGGCCGCCUGCACUAAAGUGGCGGAACCGCAGAAGAAGGCAGCAUCCACGAGCACUGGAGCACAGACAUUCUCAAGUGAAUUCAAUGACAGAUACUGUACUUAGAGUUCAAUUGUGAAAUAAAAAGAGCCAGACAUGACUAAUGCCCAA